GCCUUGGCACUAAUGACUUGUAGAGCCAAAGAACUUUUCGCUGUGGAAGGCUGACCUCCACCGGGUAAGAAGUUCACAUGGGCUACAUAGAGCAUCUCUGGUCUCGGCCCAUGGGAUGCCAGUGGCCCUGCCCCCACCAGGCUGUGACAACCAGAACUACCUCCAGACUUUGGUCCCACUGAGAACCAUUGCCGCAGAUACAGAGGCAAGAUGCACAUCAAGCUAUAGGGACUUUUAGUGAAGCUCACUUCACAUACAGUGCUGAGAAAAGAGCUGACAGUAUAACAACAAAUGCCAAUAAAAUACUGCAUAACUGCCUUAUUACACCUUACCCAAAGGAACCCUGGGGAUCUAAUUGAAAACCGGGAACCAAGAUGACUUUGAUGUUCCUGAUCAGUUCCUAUCCUGAUGGGUCCCAAGAUGGGCAUCUGCAGCUCGGCUUCUUCUGUAAUGGCCCUGGAUAGAUUGACAGGAUCCAAUCUCAUCUCUAUCUAGAAGAGCUGGAGAAGACUGACACGAUUUAGGAAAGAACAGGAGAAAUGUACAGGAAACAGGAACUAGAAGAACAGGAUUAAAUGUUAAUCUGUUUUCCUGAAAGAAAGAAAACCCCCAAAAAUGAUUUCAUGCAGAAAGGGAGGAAGACGGCUAACAGCUGAAGUGAUUUCCAGGUACCAUAGAUCUCAGACAUGUGAUCUUUGAAGAAAACCAGAAGGGAAGGCUACUAUUUAGCCCUAAACAGUCCUUCUUCCCCUUCUUCAAGGCAAUGAAGUUAUCCGCUGGCCGAGAGCCUCGCAAAAUGAACACAAAUAUGUCACAAUCCCCA
rnacentral:lncRNA from 1 species